UUAAGUCAUCGUGUAUAUAUAUAUUUGCCCUUAUAAAAGAACAAUUUACUAUACUAUUGAAGUUAUAUUAACAUUCAUAGGUAAAAAGUCUCCAUGGCGUGGGAGAAGUGGGAAGUCUUGGUUUUUCCUUGAAGUUCUUCCCAGGGUUUUUGCUUUCCUUAAAACCUUUGGGUAGUUAGUUUUAUGUUUAAUUUUCGGUUGUUUUGAAAGAGUUGUGGUAGGUUUUUUUUAUAGUUCUAACGAUUAGAAGCAGCUUUGAAUGGCGGAUGAGUUGGACGAUCCAUGGAGGCAUCUCUUCUUUACGGAAGAAGAAUUAUUUGUUCAGCCAGAAGAGAGUAUUCUAGAGGAGGCAAGUGAUGAUGAAAAUAAAUGGAUGAUAGGAAAACUUCUAACGACAAGAUCCUUCAAUAAAGAAGCCAUGAUGAGCAUACUGAAAGGUAUUUAGAGGACUACCAAGGAGGUUGAGAUCAUGGUUCUGGAGGAUAACGCUUUUCUCUUCAAAUUCGCGUCAGAAGUGGAUAAAAACAGGGUGCUUGUCAGGGCCCCAUGGUCGUUCGAUAAGAACCUAUUUAAUGGAUUAUAAGGAAUCUAUGUCCUGCAAACUACAAUUUCCUCAAAGCCAGCUUCUGGAUUCGUAUUUAUGGCCUUUCUUUGGAUGUGAACUCCGGAAAUAGCAGUAUGUUUGGGAGAAAAACUAGGUGAGUUACUGAAGUAGACGCAGGACUAGAGGGAGGGGGUCGGUCCAAAUUUGAGAGAUUUCCAGUCAGCAUUGACAUUCGGAAGCCAUUAUGAAGGGCAGUUUUAAUUAAAGGGAAGAAGGACAAGACAUCCUAGGCAGAUCGAGGUACGAAUGUAUGCCCAAUUUCUGCUACAUCGGUGGUAGAAUUGGCCACCUUGACACGGAAUGUGAUAAAGAUCCUAAAACUGAUAAGGGUGGCAAAACAAACACACAGUAUGGGGACUGGAUGCGAGUGUCACGGGUCGAGACUCAAGCUCCGAACCCGCGCGGCUUCGGGACCCGGGCAUUCACCCUUUCGGCGUCCCAGAUCAGCCUUCCGCCACGGUUCACACCCUUGUGAGGUAUUGUCCGCUCUGGCCCCCCCUGGCCUCACGGUUUUGUCCUACAAAAGGCGCCUCACAAGGCGAAGGUGGUGUGAACCCUUUUAUAUCCCAGGGACCCUUCUAUUAUGUUCGAUGUGGGAUUUAGGACUCUUCCUUAGGUCCGUGACAUUCUUUCGCACCCAACCUCGUGACGCCCUCGUCACGGAGGCUGACCACCCUGCCUGCCUCCCUCGAGGUGCUUGGCGUGGAUCGAACGGUAUAGGGCUGGCUCUGACACCACUUGUCACGGGUCGAGACUCAAGCUCCGAACCCGCGAGGCUCCAGGACCCGGGCAUUCACCCUUCCGGCGUCCCAGAUCAGCCUUCCGCCACGGUUCACACCCUUGUGAUGUAUUGUCCGCUCUGACCCCCCCUGGCCUCACGGUUUUGUCCUACAAAAGGCGCCUCACAAGGCGAAGGUGGUGUGAACCCUUUUAUACCCCAGGGACCCUCCUAUUAUGUUCGAUGUGGGAUUUAGAACUCUUCCUUAGGUCCGUGACAUGAGCAUCCUCAUUGAAAGGAAAACCGACCAGAGGAAAGGGAUCAUCUUUCCUGGCGACGAAUCGAGCUAUAAUAGAGGGGGAGAGUAAAUCGGGAAAGGGUUUGAUGGGUGUGAUAAGGGAGAUUUCCUAGGGGCCAUCGCUGUAAAAGUGGACCGAGUUCUUGACCCUCUCAUCAUCGAAGCCUUUAGCUGAGACAAAGUGGAGCUUGCAAAAAUCCUGGUCUAGGAAGAAGUAUGUCUUGAAGAGGAUGCCAUAAGAGUGAUUAAUGGAUGUAAGGUGGGUGUCAAAGAUCUGUCUUAUGUUGGGAAAAUCUUGUCUGAAGUAAGGAAAACGGAAAGCUUAUUUAAGUUCUUCGCAGCGGAC
rnacentral:lncRNA from 1 species